rnacentral:rRNA from 1 species
UGGUGGAAAGUGGCAGACGGGUGAGUAACGCGUGGGAACGUGCCUUUCGGUUCGGGAUAACCCAGGGAAACUUGGGCUAAUACCGGAUACGCCCUCCGGGGGAAAGAUUCAUCGCCGAAAGAUCGGCCCGCGUCGGAUUAGCUAGUUGGUGGGGUAAUUGCCUACCAAGGCGACGAUCCGUAGCUGGUCUGAGAGGAUGAUCAGCCACACUGGGACUGAGACACGGCCCAGACUCCUACGGGAGGCAGCAGUGGGGAAUAUUGGAACAAUGGGCGCAAGCCUGAUCCAGCCAUGCCGCGGUGGGUGAAGAAGGCCCUAGGGUUGUAAAUCCCUUUCAGCGGGGAAGAUAAUGACGGUACCCGCAGAAGAAGCCCCGGCUAACUCCGUG